rnacentral:snRNA from 1 species
GCCUAGCCCUGAUGGAAGCGGCAUCCUUUUUUUCUCUUUUUUUUGAGGAAAAAAGAUAUAGCGGACAGCAGGAAAUAGC